GGUUAAGCGACUAAGCGUACACGGUGGAUGCCCUGGCAGUCAGAGGCGAUGAAGGACGUGCUAAUCUGCGAAAAGCGUCGGUAAGGUGAUAUGAACCGUUAUAACCGGCGAUGUCCGAAUGGGGAAACCCAGUGCAAUUCGUUGCACUAUCGUUAACUGAAUACAUAGGUUAACGAGGCGAACCGGGGGAACUGAAACAUCUAAGUACCCCGAGGAAAAGAAAUCAACCGAGAUUCCCCCAGUAGCGGCGAGCGAACGGGGAGCAGCCCAGAGUCUGAAUCAGCUUGUGUGUUAGUGGAACGGUCUGGAAAGUCCGACGGUACAGGGUGAUAGUCCCGUACACCAAAAUGCACAGGUUGUGAACUCGAAGAGUAGGGCGGGACACGUGGUAUCCUGUCUGAAUAUGGGGGGACCAUCCUCCAAGGCUAAAUACUCCUGACUGACCGAUAGUGAACCAGUACCGUGAGGGAAAGGCGAAAAGAACCCCGGCGAGGGGAGUGAAAAAGAACCUGAAACCGUGUACGUACAAGCAGUGGGAGCACCUUUAUGGUGUGACUGCGUACCUUUUGUAUAAUGGGUCAGCGACUUAUAUUCUGUAGCAAGGUUAACCGUAUAGGGGAGCCGCAGGGAAACCGAGUCUUAACUGGGCGUUAAGUUGCAGGGUAUAGACCCGAAACCCGGUGAUCUAGCCAUGGGCAGGUUGAAGGUUGGGUAACACUAACUGGAGGACCGAACCGACUAAUGUUGAAAAAUUAGCGGAUGACUUGUGGCUGGGGGUGAAAGGCCAAUCAAACCGGGAGAUAGCUGGUUCUCCCCGAAAGCUAUUUAGGUAGCGCCUCGUGAAUUCAUCUUCGGGGGUAGAGCACUGUUUCGGCUAGGGGGUCAUCCCGACUUACCAACCCGAUGCAAACUACGAAUACCGAAGAAUGUUAUCACGGGAGACACACGGCGGGUGCUAACGUCCGUCGUGAAGAGGGAAACAACCCAGACCGCCAGCUAAGGUCCCAAAGUCAUGGUUAAGUGGGAAACGAUGUGGGAAGGCACAGACAGCCAGGAUGUUGGCUUAGAAGCAGCCAUCAUUUAAAGAAAGCGUAAUAGCUCACUGGUCGAGUCGGCCUGCGCGGAAGAUGUAACGGGGCUAAACCAUGCACCGAAGCUGCGGCAGCGACACUAUGUGUUGUUGGGUAGGGGAGCGUUCUGUAAGCCUGCGAAGGUGACCUGUGAGGGUUGCUGGAGGUAUCAGAAGUGCGAAUGCUGACAUAAGUAACGAUAAAGCGGGUGAAAAGCCCGCUCGCCGGAAGACCAAGGGUUCCUGUCCAACGUUAAUCGGGGCAGGGUGAGUCGACCCCUAAGGCGAGGCCGAAAGGCGUAGUCGAUGGGAAACAGGUUAAUAUUCCUGUACUUGGUGUUACUGCGAAGGGGGGACGGAGAAGGCUAUGUUAGCCGGGCGACGGUUGUCCCGGUUUAAGCAUGUAGGCUGGUUAUCCAGGCAAAUCCGGAUAAUCAAGGCUGAGGUGUGAUGACGAGGCACUACGGUGCUGAAGUAACAAAUGCCCUGCUUCCAGGAAAAGCCUCUAAGCAUCAGGUAACACGAAAUCGUACCCCAAACCGACACAGGUGGUCAGGUAGAGAAUACCAAGGCGCUUGAGAGAACUCGGGUGAAGGAACUAGGCAAAAUGGUGCCGUAACUUCGGGAGAAGGCACGCUGGUGUGUAGGUGAAGCCCCUGCGGGUGGAGCUGAGACCAGUCGAAGAUACCAGCUGGCUGCAACUGUUUAUUAAAAACACAGCACUGUGCAAACACGAAAGUGGACGUAUACGGUGUGACGCCUGCCCGGUGCCGGAAGGUUAAUUGAUGGGGUUAUCCGUAAGGAGAAGCUCUUGAUCGAAGCCCCGGUAAACGGCGGCCGUAACUAUAACGGUCCUAAGGUAGCGAAAUUCCUUGUCGGGUAAGUUCCGACCUGCACGAAUGGCGUAAUGAUGGCCAGGCUGUCUCCACCCGAGACUCAGUGAAAUUGAACUCGCUGUGAAGAUGCAGUGUACCCGCGGCAAGACGGAAAGACCCCGUGAACCUUUACUAUAGCUUGACACUGAACAUUGAGCCUUGAUGUGUAGGAUAGGUGGGAGGCUUUGAAGCGUGGACGCCAGUCUGCGUGGAGCCAACCUUGAAAUACCACCCUUUAAUGUUUGAUGUUCUAACGUUGGCCCCUUAUCGGGGUUGCGGACAGUGUCUGGUGGGUAGUUUGACUGGGGCGGUCUCCUCCCAAAGCGUAACGGAGGAGCACGAAGGUUAGCUAAUCCUGGUCGGACAUCAGGAGGUUAGUGCAAUGGCAUAAGCUAGCUUGACUGCGAGCGUGACGGCGCGAGCAGGUGCGAAAGCAGGUCAUAGUGAUCCGGUGGUUCUGAAUGGAAGGGCCAUCGCUCAACGGAUAAAAGGUACUCCGGGGAUAACAGGCUGAUACCGCCCAAGAGUUCAUAUCGACGGCGGUGUUUGGCACCUCGAUGUCGGCUCAUCACAUCCUGGGGCUGAAGUAGGUCCCAAGGGUAUGGCUGUUCGCCAUUUAAAGUGGUACGCGAGCUGGGUUUAGAACGUCGUGAGACAGUUCGGUCCCUAUCUGCCGUGGGCGCUGGAGAAUUGAGGGGGGCUGCUCCUAGUACGAGAGGACCGGAGUGGACGCAUCACUGGUGUUCGGGUUGUCAUGCCAAUGGCACUGCCCGGUAGCUAAAUGCGGAAGAGAUAAGUGCUGAAAGCAUCUAAGCACGAAACUUGCCCCGAGAUGAGUUCUCCCUGAGACUUUAAGUCUCCUGAAGGAACGUUGAAGACGACGACGUUGAUAGGCCGGGUGUGUAAGCGCAGCGAUGCGUUGAGCUAACCGGUACUAAUGAACCGUGAGGCUUAACCUU
rnacentral:rRNA from 1 species